AUGCGUUGUUGGGUAGGGGAGCGUUCUGUAAGCCUGCGAAGGUGUGCUGUGAGGCAUGCUGGAGGUAUCAGAAGUGCGAAUGCUGACAUAAGUAACGAUAAAGCGGGUGAAAAGCCCGCUCGCCGGAAGACCAAGGGUUCCUGUCCAACGUUAAUCGGGGCAGGGUGAGUCGACCCCUAAGGCGAGGCCGAAAGGCGUAGUCGAUGGGAAACAGGUUAAUAUUCCUGUACUUGGUGUUACUGCGAAGGGGGGACGGAGAAGGCUAUGUUGGCCGGGCGACGGUUGUCCCGGUUUAAGCGUGUAGGCUGGUUUUCCAGGCAAAUCCGGAAAAUCAAGGCUGAGGCGUGAUGACGAGGCACUACGGUGCUGAAGCAACAAAUGCCCUGCUUCCAGGAAAAGCCUCUAAGCAUCAGGUAACAUCAAAUCGUACCCCAAACCGACACAGGUGGUCAGGUAGAGAAUACCAAGGCGCUUGAGAGAACUCGGGUGAAGGAACUAGGCAAAAUGGUGCCGUAACUUCGGGAGAAGGCACGCUGAUAUGUAGGUGAAGUCCCUCGCGGAUGGAGCUGAAAUCAGUCGAAGAUACCAGCUGGCUGCAACUGUUUAUUAAAAACACAGCACUGUGCAAACACGAAAGUGGACGUAUACGGUGUGACGCCUGCCCGGUGCCGGAAGGUUAAUUGAUGGGGUUAGCGCAAGCGAAGCUCUUGAUCGAAGCCCCGGUAAACGGCGGCCGUAACUAUAACGGUCCUAAGGUAGCGAAAUUCCUUGUCGGGUAAGUUCCGACCUGCACGAAUGGCGUAAUGAUGGCCAGGCUGUCUCCACCCGAGACUCAGUGAAAUUGAACUCGCUGUGAAGAUGCAGUGUACCCGCGGCAAGACGGAAAGACCCCGUGAACCUUUACUAUAGCUUGACACUGAACAUUGAGCCUUGAUGUGUAGGAUAGGUGGGAGGCUUUGAAGUGUGGACGCCAGUCUGCAUGGAGCCGACCUUGAAAUACCACCCUUUAAUGUUUGAUGUUCUAACGUUGACCCGUAAUCCGGGUUGCGGACAGUGUCUGGUGGGUAGUUUGACUGGGGCGGUCUCCUCCUAAAGAGUAACGGAGGAGCACGAAGGUUGGCUAAUCCUGGUCGGACAUCAGGAGGUUAGUGCAAUGGCAUAAGCCAGCUUGACUGCGAGCGUGACGGCGCGAGCAGGUGCGAAAGCAGGUCAUAGUGAUCCGGUGGUUCUGAAUGGAAGGGCCAUCGCUCAACGGAUAAAAGGUACUCCGGGGAUAACAGGCUGAUACCGCCCAAGAGUUCAUAUCGACGGCGGUGUUUGGCACCUCGAUGUCGGCUCAUCACAUCCUGGGGCUGAAGUAGGUCCCAAGGGUAUGGCUGUUCGCCAUUUAAAGUGGUACGCGAGCUGGGUUUAGAACGUCGUGAGACAGUUCGGUCCCUAUCUGCCGUGGGCGCUGGAGAACUGAGGGGGGCUGCUCCUAGUACGAGAGGACCGGAGUGGACGCAUCACUGGUGUUCGGGUUGUCAUGCCAAUGGCACUGCCCGGUAGCUAAAUGCGGAAGAGAUAAGUGCUGAAAGCAUCUAAGCACGAAACUUGCCCCGAGAUGAGUUCUCCCUGACUCCUUGAGAGUCCUGAAGGAACGUUGAAGACGACGACGUUGAUAGGCCGGGUGUGUAAGCGCAGCGAUGCGUUGAGCUAACCGGUACUAAUGAACCGUGAGGCUUAACCUUACAACGCCGAAGCUGUU
rnacentral:rRNA from 1 species